rnacentral:rRNA from 1 species
UGGGGGAAAAUUAAUAAAUAAAAUAAAUAAUAAAAAUAAUUAUAAAAAAUAAUUAAUGGGGGUUAAAGUAUUUUUUAGAAAAAAUUUAUUAAUUUAUAGUUUAAUAGUAUUGUGAAAGAAUUUUGAAAUAAAGUUAAAUAUGGAUUAUUAUUUAAGUAAAUUUAAUUUAUUGUAUCUUGUGUAUCAGAGUUUAUUAUAAAAUAUUUUUAAAUAAAAAUAUCUCGAAUUUAAAAGAGAUAGUUAAUUAUUAAAGUUAAUGUUACAUAAUUAUUUUAAAUAAUUAAUUUGAAAUGAAAUGUUAAUCGUUUUUAAAAAUAUCUAGUUUUUUUAGAAAAAAAUUUAAUUUUAAAUUAAUUUAAUAAUUUUUUAAAUUUGUUAUAUAAAAUUAUAUAUUUAAUUAAAUAUUUUAGGGGAUAAGCUUUAAAUUAAAUUUUUAUAAUAUUAAUAAAUUAUUUAAAUAUUUUAAAAUUUAUAUUUUUUAUAAAUUAUAAUUUUUUAUAAAUAAUUUUAUUUAUUUUAAAAUUUAAAUUUAUAUUUAAAUUUAUAUAAAAAAAUAAUUUUUAAUAAUAAAAAAUUAGUUAUAAUGAUAAAAUUAGUAUAUAAGAAAAAAAAAUAAAAUAAAAUUAAUUAAAAUUAAUAAAAAGGAAUUCGGCAAAAAU